rnacentral:rRNA from 1 species
UACGAAGGGGGCGAGCGUUGUUCGGAAUUACUGGGCGUAAAGGGCGCGUAGGCGGCGAUCCGAGUCAGAUGUGAAAGUCCUGGGCUUAACCUGGGGACUGCAUUUGAUACUGGAUUGCUUGAAUUCGGGAGAGGAUAGCGGAAUUCCCAGUGUAGAGGUGAAAUUCGUAGAUAUUGGGAAGAACACCGGUGGCGAAGGCGGCUAUCUGGACCGACAUUGACGCUGAGGCGCGAAAAGCGUGGGGGAGCAAACAGG